GUGGGGAAUAUUGCACAAUGGGGGAAACCCUGAUGCAGCGACGCCGCGUGAAGGAAGAAGGCCUUCGGGUUGUAAACUUCUUUGACCAGGGACGAAAAAAUGACGGUACCUGGAGAACAAGCCACGGCUAACUACGUGCCAGCAGCCGCGGUAAUACGUAGGUGGCGAGCGUUGUCCGGAAUUACUGGGUGUAAAGGGCGUGUAGGCGGGUUCUUAAGUCAGAUGUGAAAUUCCGGGGCUCAACUCCGGAGCUGCAUCUGAAACUGGGGAUCUUGAGUGCUGGAGGGGAAAGUGGAAUUCCUAGUGUAGCGGUGAAAUGCGUAGAGAUUAGGAGGAACACCAGUGGCGAAGGCGGCUUUCUGGACAGUAACUGACGCUGAGGCGCGAAAGCGUGGGGAGCAAACAGGAUUAGAAACCCUAGUAGUCC
rnacentral:rRNA from 1 species